GACAGAGGGGGCAAGCGUUGCUCGGAAUCACUGGGCGUAAAGGGCGCGUAGGCGGGAUGGCAAGUCGGUCGUGAAAUCCUUCGGCUCAACCGAAGAACGUCGGCCGAUACUGCCGUUCUUGAGGGAUGCAGAGGAGAUUGGAAUUCCCGGUGUAGCGGUGAAAUGUGUAGAGAUCGGGAGGAACGACCGGUGGCGAAGGCGGGUCUCUGGGGCAUCUCCUGACGCUGAGGCGCGAAAGCGUGGGGAGCAAACGGGG
rnacentral:rRNA from 1 species